AUCAAACCGUUGAAAAAGACGAGUACAAUGAUACACCGUAUUACAGAGAGCGGCCGUUGCUGAGAGGUUGCAUACAGGCAUGAUUGGAAUGGACUUUUGAGGGCAGACUGAACCGGAUUUUCCCAAGUAGGCUUUGCAGGGAACUCAACCCUUUAUCAAUGAGCUUAUGUGAUAGCAUAAGAACUAAGUGGACAGCACAGGCUGUCAAUUUGGGUGGUACCGCAGGAUAUAACUCUUGUCCCAUAC
rnacentral:ncRNA from 1 species